rnacentral:rRNA from 1 species
UACAGAGGGGGCAAGCGUUAUUCGGAACUAUUGGGCGUAAAGCGUGCGCAGGCGGUGAUGUAAGACAGAUGUGAAAUCCCCGGGCUCAACCUGGGACCUGCAUUUGUGACUGCAUCGCUGGAGUGCGGCAGAGGGGGAUGGAAUUCCGCGUGUAGCAGUGAAAUGCGUAGAUAUGCGGAGGAACACCGAUGGCGAAGGCAAUCCCCUGGGCCUGCACUGACGCUCAUGCACGAAAGCGUGGGGAGCAAACAGG